rnacentral:lncRNA from 1 species
AUGCAUCUCAUACACAAGCACAAUAUUGAGUUGCAUCCAUUGCAUUAACCAUAAUUAUCAAAUGUCAAAUUUAGAACAAAAUAGUAACUGAGAUAGGUCACAUUUUGCACAAGAUAAAUUGUCCACUAAGACAAAUUUGUCCAUAAGAUAAAGUGUUUCAAAUAUCUAACAUAACUUCAUUUUGGCAUGACUUGAAGAUCAUUAGGCUUCUAUAGCCAAUCAUCAUCACCAUCGCCAUAGUCAUUAUAUCCCUCAUCUCGAUAGUCUUUAUAUUCCGCAUCGCGUAGUUAUCAUACUGCUCAUCACCAUACAGACCACCCUCGCCAUAGUUAUCAUAUCCCUCAUUGCCGUAGUAGUCAUCCUCAUCAUCAUUCCCAUGACUGAUACUGCCUCCAGUCCUGCUUCCAAUUCCCUAUGUAAUCACAAGACUAGUUGUCAGUAUAAUGUAGCUAAAAUUUAAGUGACCUACAGGGACUAAACUUAAUAUUUCUAAUUGACAGUUUAGCUGCUAGCUGCUGUUUAACAGUAUGACUAUCUAACAAUAUGCUUGCCUAUUCACCUUUUGAUCCUUCACAUGAAAUUUUCAAAGGAAACAUGAAUCAGCAGGAACACAUAUUACAUACACAUUGUCCAAGUACAGUGCAUAUCUAUCUGCAACCCUACUAUCAGCAGUGUUUACAUUUGCAGUCACAUGACACAGCCGAACAAGUAAACUAACAUAACACUAUUGGCUAGUUUGGGCAUAUAGUAAACUAAUUAAGGAUGACAUGUACAAAAAUAGGUUACUAUAAAUUUCCAUUCAAAUAGUUUUAAUGGCAAAAGCUCACUUACAAUUUACGCCAACAAUAUUUUAGAUUACACUGCACAUACAGCACCUAGCAUUGAGCUAAUUGGAAUCCUGAAACUAACAAUUUAGAGUGAUCAUGAGUGUGUAUGGCUGAGCUUUAAGAGAUAGCAAGCGUCAGUUUAGCUCCCAGUAAUAACUUUCUAAAGUACAUUUGUAGAGAUGUGUAUACUAGCAGCAUUUGUCCCAAGGUGAAAUAAUCCUUGCACGUAUAUGUAUUAUAAUUGAAAUGCAUAUGUACAGAGGCUUCACCGAACAUGGUUCAACAAUGCUUAGCUAAAAAGGAAGAGUAUUCGUAAGAAAAAUAUUCCGGAUGGUUAGCCUAAAGUCUUUAAUGUCUACUGUUCUUUCCCUGCGACCUGAAUAAAUUAUAUAUGAAGUACAAAUAAACUAUUGAAUACUAUUAUAUGUUUGCCUAUUGAUGAUUUUCGAAUUAACAUGGUUCAGUUUAUCUAGUUUUGCACAUAAGAAAUGAUAGAAAAUUUAGAUAUGCGAG